UACGUAGGGGCCUAGCGUUGUCCGGAUUUAUUGGGCGUAAAGAGCUCGUAGGCGGCCAGGUAGGUCUGCUGUGAAAACUCGAGGCUCAACCUCGAGAUGUCGGCGGAAACCAUCUGGCUAGAGUCCGGAAGAGGAAAGUGGAAUUCCCGGUGUAGCGGUGAAAUGCGCAGAUAUCGGGAAGAACACCCGUGGCGAAGGCGGCUUUCUGGGACGGUACUGACGCUGAGACGCGAAAGCGUGGGGAGCGAACAGG
rnacentral:rRNA from 1 species